rnacentral:misc_RNA from 1 species
GAAAUGCGAUAAGUAAUGUGAAUUGCAGAAUUCAGUGAAUCAUCGAGUCUUUGAACGCACCUUGCACCCUUUGGUAUCCCGAAGGGUACACCCGUUUGAGUGUCAUUGUAAUCUCACUACAUCAUUUUGGUGAUUGUAUGUGGAUCUGGAUGCUGCCGUGUUGUGAACGGCUCGUCUGAAAUGCUUUAGUGUACCCUGCUUUGUGGUGUAUUCGGUGUAAUACAUCUUCACCGGAGUUUGAUCUUUCGAGAUCACAUCUUGCAUAUGUAUGGCUCUAUGCUUCCAACCGUCCUGACCAGACAAUAUCUGACAAUUUGACCUCAAAUCGGGUGGGACUACCCGCUGAACUUAA